rnacentral:sRNA from 1 species
AAUGUUAAGAAUCUCUUUAUAAGUCCGUGUGUUGCAAUGGUUAAGGCGGAUAAAUUCGUUUGUGGACUGGACUGUUUUUUUUAUUUAUCAUUUAUAAAUAUAAUUCAUAGUGGUCUGGACUCAAAAAAUAAAUAAAAGAUAACCGUUGCGACCAAUCACAUAUUACUUUUACAUAUAAAUAGAGUUGGUCCGCAUCGGUUUGUUGUCCAUCCUUAAGGUUUAGCCCGUUUUAUUUUAAAGGCGGACAACAAACUGGUGCAGAACAACUUUAUUUGUAUGUAAAAGUGGUUCAUGGUUGGUCCGCAUUGUUUUUUUUUUUUAGUCUACAAUAAUACGGAUACAAUUUGUGAAUGAUAAAUAAAAAACGGUUUAUAAAAUCAUUCAUUCAUAUCUUAAAAAUAGAGCAGACUAAAUUACUAACGGAUUUGUACAAUAGAAAACAUGGCUUCACAAACUAAGAUUUCUUAUGAAACAUUUC